UACAGAGGGGGCAAGCGUUAUUCGGAAUUAUUGGGCGUAAAGGGCGCGUAGGCGGCCACCGCAAGUCGACUGUGAAAUCUCCGGGCUUAACCCGGAAAGGUCAGCCGAUACUGCGGGGCUAGAGUGCAGAAGGGGCAACUGGAAUUCUCGGUGUAGCGGUGAAAUGCGUAGAUAUCGAGAGGAACACCUGCGGCGAAGGCGGGUUGCUGGGCUGACACUGACGCUGAUGCGCGAAAGCAUGGGGAGCGAACAGG
rnacentral:rRNA from 1 species